rnacentral:rRNA from 2 species
AGGGUUUGAUCCUGGCUCAGGGUGAACGCUGGCGGCGUGCUUAACACAUGCAAGUCGCGCGGGGAAACCCCUUCGGGGGGAGUACCAGCGGCGCACGGGUGAGUAACACGUGGGUAACCUACCCCUCAGUGGGGGAUAACCGGGGGAAACUCCGGCUAAUACCCCAUAUUAUCCGGUGACGACAGUUGCUGGAUGAAAGGAGUGUUUGCUUCGCUGAGGGAUGGGCCCGCGGCCCAUCAGGUAGUUGGUGAGGUAAUGGCUCACCAAGCCUACGACGGGUAGCCGACCUGAGAGGGUGACCGGCCACAAGGGCACUGAGACACGGGCCCUACUCCUACGGGAGGCAGCAGUGGGGAAUUUUGGACAAUGGGCGAAAGCCUGAUCCAGCGACGCCGCGUGAGGGACGAAGCCCUUCGGGGUGUAAACCUCUGUUGUGAGGGACGAAUAAGAUCUGGAGGAAAUGCCAGAUCGAUGACGGUACCUCACGAGAAAGCCCCGGCUAACUACGUGCCAGCAGCCGCGGUAAUACGUAGGGGGCGAGCGUUACCCGGAUUCACUGGGCGUAAAGGGGGCGCAGGCGAUCCAGUAUGUCGGGUGUGAAAUCCCACAGCUCAACUGUGGAAUUGCGCCCGAAACUACUGGGUUUGGGGCUGGUAGAGGGAGACGGAACUGCUGGUGUAGGGGUGAAAUCCGUAGAUAUCAGCAGGAACGCCGGUGGGGAAGCCGGUCUCCUGGGCCAAGCCCGACGCUGAGGCCCGAAAGCUAGGGGAGCAAACCGGAUUAGAUACCCGGGUAGUCCUAGCCGUAAACGAUGCCCACUAGGUGUGGGGGAGUCAUCCCUCCGUGCUGAAGCUAACGCGUUAAGUGGGCCGCCUGGGGAGUACGCCCGCAAGGGUGAAACUCAAAGGAAUUGACGGGGGC